GAUAGGCGGGAAACCCCGGGACAGGUGUCCCCGCGGGAGCUAAGAGCUGCUAGGCGGCCACUACCAAGUCGCCCUUCUUGGGUCCUCAGUGAAGUUACCUGUGUGUUGCAGAUUCCCGCCAGUUUCUCACCGACCAGGCCAGAUGCACCUGAGACUCCGGGUGAGCGAGUGUGCGGCUCAACCUCUCCUUCAGCUUCCACAGAGAUGUGGGGUGUUGUGUCGUGUGAGAAGAACGAGACUGCAAGAAAGGCCACAAAUAAUGGUCUGAGGACUCCAAUAUUUCUUACCACCCUGAGAACUCAAGAAUCCGGAAUCAAACAUCCUGAAUUCUGUCUAUGGACAGAAUGGACCUCCUGGGGAUCCAUCAAGAGAGUUAGCGAGAAAGCUGGUUUAAAAUCCAUGCCUCCUGACUUAGCUAAGUUCUCUAUCUAAUCCUACUCUUUUUUUUUUCUCUCUUAAUAAAGGGGAUUAGGUGGAAAAGAAUGAAUUUUAUUUAAACUGCUAGAGUGAGUCAGUUCUAAAACGAGAGGGACCCAAGGGUUGCUUGUGUGGAAGUUUCUAAAGAAUAAAAAGGUUUUGAACUCUGACCCUCCCCUUCCUACUCCAUUCCUGCCCCCCUCACACAACCACCACCACCCAUGCAACCCAUAUACACCACAACUACAAAAUGAUAAUAUAAUUACUAUAUUUCAAUAGUAGACAUCGAUUUAGAAAAGUAAUUGUUGUUUAGAGCUCUAGUGGAAUUUGACGUUUUCUCAGAGGGAAUAUUUUUAAGAAUUCACUUUUGAAUGCCUGGUGAGGCAGAAAAGCUGCCAGCAGAGAUUGAAUCUGUUGGAAAUAGAGUGGGGUAACUGAGCUCAAAUCACUGAUUUUAGAUUUUGCAGAAAUUUAUUCACUUUUCAAUUUAGGGAGGAGCUUACCAGGGCAGACCAUCUUAAGAGAUAGCUGCUGAUACACACGUGGUCACUAAGAAGUGGAAUGGAAGAAAACAGACACAAUCAAGUUGUUUGUCUUCAUUCUAUUCAAACGACUGUAAAUAUCAGAUGAGUACAAUAUGUACACACAGAUGGAGUAAAUCAUUUUUUAAAAUGAGGAUAGAAUGUGUGACAUUCCGGCCAUUAUUUGAAACCUGGGGCAAGGAGGUUUUUGGGUCCUCCUUUUAACUGUGCCUUCUUUCCAAAUCACCUCCACCAUGUAAUAUAGUACUGCCUGAUAGAGUAAUAUAUAGAACCUGGACCAUGGUUUGCAACUGGGCAUUAAGACUGGUGGUCACUUGAGUAUGGGAACUUAUUAAAAGGUUAGAUAAACCCUGAUUAUAUUUUCUGAAUUAAAAAAAUAAAAAGGACAUAUUUUGCCUAUGGGAUUUUAUAGUUCUCUCUGGUGUCAAAAAUUCUCGGGGAAAUAUACUUCAUAUACCAAAACACUAGUGUCUAAAGGACAAAAUAUUUAAAAUUGACCCUAUCUGGAAAACCCAGGUUGAAUGGCCAUCAUAGUUACAGAUAUCCCAGAUGAAGUGAAUUGUAAGUGCAAAAUGGGUAGGAAUUGGGGACGGUCCAGAACAAGAUCAUCAGUCAGGAUUCCAAACCAUAGCAAAGUCAUGAGAUUAGAACCCAGCAGUCAAGGUCCAGAGAUCCAGGUUCUCAUUCAGAGCAAGGAUCAGGCAAGCCACUGGUCAGAAGCCAAUAGAAGAGAGGCAACUGCUGAACUCAAAGACUCUGGGGAAUGAAGGUAGGUAGCUAAGUAUCCAGGGUAAUGACCCAGUAAGGGGAGCUCUCCAGGCACUGAUAGAGAGGGACAAGUAGGUAAGACAGACAACCUGAGACGUGGUAACAGAACAGCUCCUGCCUCAGGUCUAAAGAUUUGCUGAUUCUGACUGGGAAAGAACUUAGUCCCUACAAGGCUAACCUGAACCUGCAAAUGGAAGGAGGGGAGAGAUGGGGCGGAGGUUGGGGAGUAGAGGAGAGGAAGGCGGAGCAUCAGCUGCUUUUGGUGGGCAAGAUCUUGGCAAAUUACUAUAUAUACACAUGGUUAUUUAUAAAUAAUAAUGUUAAUAGCAGCAACAAUUAUUAUAGCUGAUAUACAGCUCUUAAGUGCUACUGUUGUUAGCACUUGACAUAUGUUAAUUUAUUUAACCUUUACAACAUGUCUAUUAAGUGGUACUCUUCCCGGAAGGGGGACCUGUUCCAGGGCCCGAGAGUGCGCUCUCGUCUAACACUUGGAAAUGAAUUGUCUGAGGAGACACAUGUGCUGACAGAGCAAAAGACUUUAUUGGGA